CACAUUUGCAACUCAGGUGAUUAAAGAGUUACCUUCCAGUGUCUCAAAAAUUCAAUUGUAGGAACAGAAAAAUACAAAACCAAAAUAAGGUAUUGUUAUGCUGUCCAGCACAGGCUGGUGUCUAACUCCUGGAUUAAAGCCAUCCUCCCUCCUCAGCUUCUCGAGUAUCUGGGACUACAGCACUUCCACAUCUUUCUGCUUUAACGUUCAGCACAAGCUAUAAUCAAUAUGUAUCUAUAUAAAGUCAAUACAUAUCCCUGGCUACGAUGUGAGCUUUUAAGAAAUGGGACUAUGUUCAGGAGAUCAAGACCAUCCUGGCUAACACGGUGAAACCCCAUCUCUACUAAAAGUACAAAAAGAAU
rnacentral:lncRNA from 1 species